UUUUUAAAUUCAGCAUCAUGUGCUGGUGUUGCAUCUGAAGUAAAGCAAUGUUAUGCUUUUUGGGAACAAUGGAGCUAUUGGUCAUUUUGUGAUGAAUUGGGAUUAAUGACCAGAUCAAGGAUAUGUAAUGUUUCAAAUACUAAUGAGACAUGUUUUGGCGAUAACUACGAAACAAGAAGUUGUUUUUUUAUUUGGACAGAAUGGAGCAGCUGGACAAGUUGCAAUGUCUCUUUAGGGUUGAUAAGCAGAACAAGACAUUGUAAUGUUUCAGACUCAGACUUUCAAUGUCAAGGUUUAGCUGAAGAAGUGGACGAUU
rnacentral:lncRNA from 1 species